AUGGUUGAGCUCCUCCUAUCUCCCGUCGCAGACCAAGGAUUGACCUCCUAUGACGCUGCCACCACCCACCGACCGAGGAUUGAACUCUUCUCCGGUAGCCACUGCCUAGGCCGCCGCCGCCAUCUCUAUAUGCAGAGCGGCUAUUUUUUUACGGAUAUCCGCGGAGCAGCUGUUUACACGGAAAGCGAUCUACCGCCGGAUCCGGAGCUUGACUCUAGACUCCCGCAACACGAGUUCGACUCCGGGUUUUGCGCCAUCGAGAAGUACCAAAAGCUGAGUUGUGUGCACGGGCACACUCCCGCUCGACGUGUAUGCACGGAGGGAUUCGACAUUGGCAGGCGGUUUCUCAGUUGCCCCUUAGAGGGAUAUGAGCCUUGUGCCUUUGUUAACUGGCUGGAUGAAGAAUGCCAUGGCAGGGCUCAGAGUGUUAUCACCAAGCUCACAGAAGAUAACAUAAUACGUCAACCCCCGCUUCAAUUGGUAGUUCCUCUUCUCUGCAUACCCCGCUUAAGUGUCCACCAUCUUCAUCGUCCCUGGAAGGCCGUGCUACACGCUGGCACACACUCUACAGCCAUGUCGAGCGAUAGCGAGGAUGACAGUUCGGCCAGUAGUCUGGCGCCCGAUGAUAGGUCAACAUCGAAAUCAUCCCGCUCGUCUUCCAUGAGUCCGGCGUCGAGCCCAGACCUCGAUUAUAUCCGGUUCAUGGAAGGUAUGCCGCCUCCGAAGCCAUCAGACGACAACCAGAUGGACGAGGAGACGUCGGAGGACGAAGAAGAGGACGAAGAUGAUGAUGAGAGGAAUGGUCGAACGAGGAGGUGGACAACGAUGAUGACGAUGGCGACGACGAUGAAAAGCCAACGGUCAGCGGCAAGAAGCGUCCUCGCCAAGGCGAUGUCGCGGGACCAUCCAACGAGAACAACAACAAGAAGAAGGAUUAAAUUAAGCAGACUGUAUAUAUCUCUGUUUAUCCUGUCAAUCUCAUCGCAAAUGGGUUAUCAUAGGACUCCCCACCCCCUCUCCGCUUCCUCGCCCCGACUCCCACCUGUCGUCCCAAUCUCUCGCCCCUACGCCGGGGACCCCCUUCUCUCGCCGCCCCGCCGCCCCGCGAGUUCCGUCGCCGCUUUCGCUGCCGCCCCGUCGGUCGUCGAACGCCGCCUAGUCACCGUCGCGAACCUCCACGCCUGCUCCGUCCCCACAUCGACACCGUAUUCCGCCUCUCCCAUCUGCCACCUCAACCGCCGGGAGCGCCUCCCUCGCCGACCUCCACUGCCCCUCCGCUACCUCAUCCGCCAAUAG
rnacentral:rRNA from 1 species